UAUUGGACAAUGGGGGCAACCCUGAUCCAGCAAUGCCGCGUGUGUGAAGAAGGCCUGCGGGUUGUAAAGCACUUUUAGUGGGGACGAAAACUUGCGGGCUAAUAACCUGUGAGCCUGACUUAACCCACAGAAGAAGCACCGGCUAACUCUGUGCCAGCAGCCGCGGUAAUACAGAGGGUGCGAGCGUUUAUCGGAAUUACUGGGCGUAAAGGGUGCGUAGGUGGUUUGAUAAGUCAGUUGUGAAAUCCCUGGGCUUAACCUGGGAAUUGCAUUUGAUACUGUCAAACUAGAGUGUGGUAGAGGUAAGCGGAAUUCCCGGUGUAGCGGUGAAAUGCGUAGAUAUCGGGAGGAACAUCAGUGGCGAAGGCGGCUUACUGACCAGACACGACACGAGGCACGAGG
rnacentral:rRNA from 1 species